rnacentral:lncRNA from 1 species
GUGAUCUGCUUUGGCCAAUAAGCUGUGGUGGAAGUGAUGGAGUGCCAGUACUGAGUGAGGCCUUCAAGUGGCUUUGCAGGUUUUUCUCUCCCUCUUAGAACUCUGCCCAGCUACCAUGAAAAUAAGCCCAAAGUAACCUGCUGGAGGAUGAGACACCACGUGGAAGACAGACAAGCCAUGCCACUGCCUGUGGAUGCAUAGCAGGCAGUUGGCUGGAGAGAAAAGAGUAAUUCUGUGGGCAGGCUGGCUGAACGCUGCUCAGGCAGACAGCGUCCCCUGGACAAGUUGGCCAUGGAUUGGGGAGGUGGAGAGAGACCAGGAAGGAGCAGCAGCAUCUCCUGUCUUUGCAGCUGUGGCCUCCCGUAGUUCACUGGUUUCACAUCUUGUGGCAAUGUACCAUAGUCAGAUUGGGGUUUACAGGAAGUACAGAGGACAGAGGAACGUGCUAAACAUCACAAUGAAGACGCAACCAGCUAAGACCAGAACAUGGAACUUCUGCAGGCCAAAUACCCUGAUUUCUUCAACACAUGAAUGGCGAUUAAGUAAAAGCUCUGCAGCAGACUUCAUUUCCAUUGGCUCCCACCUGCUUCCAGCAAUUAGAGGAUCAUUUGGAAUAGGAGAUUUGCAUCUGAAGCCUCAUUCACACCUUCCUGCAAAUGCCCGCAAUCCAUCUCCUUACCUUCUAAGAGGAGGACAUCAAAGGGAGCGUGGAGAGAGGGAAGGCUGGACGGAGUAGACUUUCACCAGGAGGACAGUACUGACGGGACAGAAGGGUCAAAGGGAGAAGGAAGGAGGUGUGGAGAGGUCCUUAAGGGAGAUGGGAGAGCAGCAGAGACCAGGGGCCCCCUGUGCUGUUUGGGUGAGGACCAGGGACGCAGCAGAGCCUGCAGACUGCAUAACACAGGAUCAUGGCUAGUGAGCACAGAAAGUGUGGCUGGUAUGACAGGAAAACUCUACUUUUAAUAUUAUUUAAUUUUAAUUCAAGUGACAACUGAAAAUCUGAAGCAAGAUAAAAAUACUUUCCAUUGAACACAACUUUGAUAUUAUUACAUAUUUCGUACUUUUUAAAUUGUUAAAAUUUGUUUCACCUGGUUGUUUUUGUUUGUUUGUUUGUUUUUGAGGAAGAUUAGCCAUGAGCUAACUACUGCCAGUCCUCCUCUUUUUGCUGAGGAAGACCAGCCCUGAGCUAACAUCCAUGUCCAUCUUCCUCUAUUUUAUACAUGGGACGCCUACCACAGCAUGGCUUUUGCCAGGCGGUGCCAUGUCUGCACCCGGGAUCCAAACUGGUGAACCCCGGGCCGCUGAGAAGUGGAAUGUGUGAAUUUAACCACAGCGCCACGGAGCCAGCCCCCUCACCUGGUUGUUUUUAAUGUGGCUACUAGAAAAUUG